CUAACCAUAAACGGUGUACACUUGGUGUGCGAGGAAUUGUCCCUUUGCGCGCCGCAGCUAACGCGAUAAGUGUACCGCCUGGGGAGUACGGUCGCAAGAUUAAAACUCAAAGGAAUUGACGGGGACCCGCACAAGCGGUGGAGCAUGUGGCUUAAUUCGAUGCAACGCGAAGAACCUUACCUGGACUUGACAUGCAAGUAGUAGGAACCUGAAAGGGGGACGAUCCGUAGCAAUACGGAAGCUUGCACAGGUGC
rnacentral:rRNA from 1 species